rnacentral:rRNA from 1 species
AUUGCAGGCUGCAACCCGCCUGUAUGAAGUUGGAAUCGCUAGUAAUCGCGGAUCAGCAUGCCGCGGUGAAUACGUUCCCGGGCCUUGUACACACCGCCCGUCACACCAUGAGAGUCGGGAACACCCGAAGUCCGUAGCCUAACCGCAAGGAGGGCGCGGCCGAAGGUGGGUUCGAUAAUUGGGGUGAAGUCGUAACAAGGUAAC